CUCCGUCCCUCCUUCCCCUUCUUUCCUCCCGGCUUCCCCACCCCAUGCCUGCGACAGCCCGGGUCCGACGCAGAAACGGAUCACCUCCUGCCCACCGGGAGCUCGGACCCAGAGUCAUUUCCCUCCUGCUAAGGGGGCCGGGGCACCAGGAGGGCAGGGCUCCCCACCAGAGGGAACCCGGCUGCGGCUGGGGGCUGGGGGCCGGGGCCUGGCCGGGGGCCCAGCUGCCUUGCAUCUCGAGGUGGAGGAGAGAAGACUGACUGCAAACGCAUCCCGGUUCCCACGCCUCUGGCUCCAUAUCCUGAGCGCUGGGAUCCCCCAGGACGCUCCCUGGCGCCCCCCAGGCCCCUGGGCCCAGGGCCUAGCCGCCCUGCCCCUUGGCUCAGCUGAGCUUCUCAGGCUGCAGGAGGCCAUAGAGGCCUGCUCCUGAUGUGUCGUCUGUGAGCGGGGAGCUGGGCAGAGACGCGCACAGUUGGCUCCCGCGAGCCCGGGCGAGCAGGUGCCGGCACGCC